rnacentral:rRNA from 1 species
GCUACCAUGCAAGUCGAGGGGCAGCGCGGGUAGCAAUACCCGGCGGCGACCGGCGCACGGGUGCGUAACACGUAUGCAAUCUGCCCUGUACAGGAGAAUAACCCGGAGAAAUCCGGCCUAAUGCUCCAUGGCGCGUAGGAGCGGCAUCGCCCCCACGCUAAAGAGUCAUCGGUACAGGAUGAGCAUGCGCCCUAUUAGCUAGUUGGCGGGGUAACAGCCCACCAAGGCCACGAUAGGUAGGGGUUCUGAGAGGAAGGCCCCCCACACUGGUACUGAGACACGGACCAGACUCCUACGGGAGGCAGCAGUGAGGAAUAUUGGUCAAUGGGCGCAAGCCUGAACCAGCCAUGCCGCGUGCAGGACGACGGCCCUACGGGUUGUAAACUGCUUUUGCACGGGAGCAAACCCGGCCCUGCGGGGCCGGUUGAGAGUACCGUGCGAAUAAGGAUCGGCUAACUCCGUGCCAGCAGCCGCGGUAAUACGGAGGAUCCGAGCGUUAUCCGGAUUCAUUGGGUUUAAAGGGUGCGUAGGCGGCUUGGUAAGUCAGCGGUGAAAGGCUGGGGCUCAACCUCAGCAGCGCCGUUGAUACUGCCGAGCUUGAGUACGGAUGAAGCUGGCGGAAUGCGCAGUGUAGCGGUGAAAUGCAUAGAUAUUGCGCAGAAGGCCAAUUGCGAAGGCAGCUGGCUAAUCCGGAACUGACGCUCAGGCACGAAAGCGUGGGGAUCAAACAGGAUUAGAUACCCUGGUAGUCCACGCCGUAAACGAUGAUAGCUCGCUGCCGGCGAUACACAGUCGGUGGCCCAGCGAAAGCGGUAAGCUAUCCACCUGGGGGAGUACGUUCGCAAAGAAUGAAACUCAAAGGAAUUGACGGGGGCCCCGCACAANCGGAAGNAACAUGUGGUUUUAAUUUCGAUGAUACCCCGANGNACCNUUACCCCGGGCNUCGAAACGGCANGGGGAAAUUACCGGAAUGAAAANUUUCCUUAANCCCNGCCAAUUGGNCCCCCUNUUCCNAAGGGUGCCUUCCAUUGGNUUNUUCCCUUCAANCCUUCGGNGGCC